rnacentral:rRNA from 1 species
GAUGAACGCUGGCGGCGUGCCUAAUACAUGCAAGUCGAGCGAACGGACGAGAAGCUUGCUUCUCUGAUGUUAGCGGCGGACGGGUGAGUAACACGUGGAUAACCUACCUAUAAGACUGGGAUAACUUCGGGAAACCGGAGCUAAUACCGGAUGAUAUUUUGAACCGCAUGGUUCAAAAGUGAAAGACGGUCUUGCUGUCACUUAUAUAUGGAUCCGCGCUGCAUUAGCUAGUUGGUAAGGUAACGGCUUACCAAGGCAACGAUGCAUAGCCGACCUGAGAGGGUGAUCGGCCACACUGGAACUGAGACACGGUCCAGACUCCUACGGGAGGCAGCAGUAGGGAAUCUUCCGCAAUGGGCGAAAGCCUGACGGAGCAACGCCGCGUGAGUGAUGAAGGUAUUCGGAUCGUAAAACUCUGUUACUAGGGAAGAACAUAUGUGUAAGUAACUGUGCACAUCUUGACGGUACCUAAUCAGAAAGCCACGGCUAACUACGUG